rnacentral:snRNA from 1 species
AUCUUUGCGCUUGGGGCAAUGACGCAGCUAGUGAGGUAUAACCGAGGCGCGUCAAUUGCUGGUUGAAAACUAUUUCCAAACCCCCUCCUUGGCCUAGGUUCAGCCUUGUGCCAUCGAGAAUUUCUGGAAGGGGCCCCUCC